AUGGCAGGGAAAGGCCGGGAACAGGGGUCUCCAGCCCGGAUCUGGUUCAUGGCGGCUUGGGGAGGCGGAACAACUCCAGGACGGGUGCGCGGUGGCCGGGGAAGUCCAUGGAGGCGCAACGGGGCUGACGGAGGCCGGCCGGACGUGGCCGUUCCGAGGUCAGGCGGCGAAGCUUGGCGGGCGUGGAGGCGCUAG
rnacentral:rRNA from 1 species